CAACGAGCCUGCACACAAUCAGGAAUCAAAACACCAGAACUUGACGAGAGGGAGCGACAUAAAAGACCCGUGAAGCCAAGAGACCUUCGCCAGAACGUAGCCAAUCUCCCUUGACCCCCGACCGCUUGCCUCACUGUUGACUGCCUCUUUGCCUUCCCACUUGGAUUCAACGAAAGAUACAUCCAACACGCAGAGACAACACCCUCUGAACCCUGCCGAGAGUAUAGAGCUGGUCCACAGUUCCACGACCAGGACGAAAACCACACUGUUCCUCCUGAAUCCGAGGUUCGACUAUCCGACGUAGCCUCCUCUCCAGUACACCUGAAUAAACCUUACCGGGAAGGCUGAGGAGUGUGAUCCCACGAUAGUUAGAACACACCCUGCGGUCCCCGUUCUUAAAGAGAGGAACCACCACCCCGGUCUGCCAAUCCAGAGGUACCGCCCCCGAUGUCCACGCGAUGCUGCAAAGUCUUGUCAACCAAGACAGCCCCACAGCAUCCAGAGCCUUAAGGAACUCCGGCAGGGUUCUUGAGGGUGCAUGAGAGUUUGCCCAACCAGUCUACAUGUGCUUUGUGGACUUGGAGAAGGCAUUCGACCGUGUCCCUCGGGAAGUCCUGUGGGGAGUGCUCAGAGAGUAUGGGGUAUCGGACUGUCUUAUUGUGGCGGUCCGUUCCCUGUACGAUCAGUGCCAGAGCUUGGUUCGCAUUGCCGGCAGUAAGUCGAACACAUUUCCAGUGAGGGUUGGACUCCGCCAAGGCUGUCCUUUGUCACCCAUUCUGUUCAUAACU